UAUCUCUGUAGAGUCUGCAUAUCAAUAAGCGGAGGAAAAGAAACUAACAAGGAUUCCCUUAGUAACGGUGAGUGAAGCGGGAAGAGCUCAAAUUUGAAAUCUUCAAGGUUCUACCUUGACGAAUUGUAGUUUAAAGAAGUGUUUUCUGUUGGAGUUUUGGUAAAAGUUCUUUGGAAUAGGACAUCAUAGAGGGUGAGAAUCCCGUAUUUGACCAUUAUUUCCAGCUUUGUGAUACACUUUCAAAGAGUCGGAUUGUUUGGGAAUGCAGUCCAAAAUGGGUGGUAAAUUUCAUCUAAAGCUAAAUAUUGGCGAGAGACCGAUAGCGAACAAGUACCGUGAGGGAAAGAUGAAAAGAACUUUGAAAAGAGAGUUAAACAGUACGUGAAAUUGUCAAAAGGGAAGCGUUUGACACCAGUGUUGUUUUCUCGAAAAUCAAUUAAAAAAGGUUGGAUUUUGUAUUGUUGAGACCUUAUCAAGCUUACUGUACAUCUUUUCGUGUCUUUUUUUAAUGCACUUUUCGUUUAACAAGUCAACAUCAAUUUCUUUUGUUGUAAAAGAGUCAUUGGAAGGUGGCUUUCACUUCGGUGAAAGUGUUUAUAGCCUUUGGCUUCUGCAAUCGGAGAGAUUGAGGUCUGCAGCGUAGAUCCUUCGGGGCUAGAUACGUAGAUGCUAAGUUAUAGUUUUUUAUAGACAACUUGUUGACUAUAAUUAAUCAUGUAGCUUACUCGUUUGCGCUAUUUUACCUACGCUUAGGAUGUUGAUGUGAUACUGCGAGCA
rnacentral:rRNA from 1 species